rnacentral:rRNA from 1 species
CGAACGCUGGCGGCGUGCUUAACACAUGCAAGUCGAACGGAAAGGCCCUGCUUUUGUGGGGUGCUCGAGUGGCGAACGGGUGAGUAACACGUGAGUAACCUGCCCUUGACUUUGGGAUAACUUCCGGAAACUGGGGCUAAUACCGGAUAGGAGCUCCUGCUGCAUGGUGGGGGUUGGAAAGUUUCGGCGGUUGGGGCUGGACUCGCGGCUUAUCAGCUUGUUGGUGGGGUAGUGGCUUACCAAGGCUUUGACGGGUAGCCGGCCUGAGAGGGUGACCGGCCACAUUGGGACUGAGAUACGGCCCAGACUCCUACGGGAGGCAGCAGUGGGGAAUAUUGCACAAUGGGCGGAAGCCUGAUGCAGCAACGCCGCGUGCGGGAUGACGGCCUUCGGGUUGUAAACCGCUUUCGCCUGUGACGAAGCGUGAGUGACGGUAAUGGGUAAAGAAGCACCGGCUAACUACGUG